rnacentral:rRNA from 1 species
UACAGAGGGGGCGAGCGUUGUUCGGAAUUACUGGGCGUAAAGGGCGCGUAGGCGGCCUUCUAAGUCGAACGUGAAAUCCCCGGGCUCAACCCGGGAACUGCGUCCGAUACUGGGAGGCUUGAAUCCGGGAGAGGGAUGUGGAAUUCCAGGUGUAGCGGUGAAAUGCGUAGAUAUCUGGAGGAACACCGGUGGCGAAGGCAGCCCCCUGGGAUAACACUGACGCUCAUGCACGAAAGCGUGGGGAGCAAACAGG